GCACAGGAAUAUCAACAGAUAACAUGUGGCACACGAAUAGUUUACAAUAGUGAUAGAAUAGUGUAGUGAUAAUCGAAUAGAAUAGUGAUAUUCGUCAAAGAGUGGGUCAGAGUGACAUUAGUAUUAUUACAAUUCGUUUAUUUAUAACCCAUUGUGAAUGAUAACACAAUGUUAUCAUACAUGACAGGCACGGAAAUACAAAGUUUAAUCGUAAACUUAUUUAAAAGGAUUCUUUAACCACAUCACAAAGUUGUGACUGUCUAUCUAUCUGUCUAUAUAAUCUAUUUUUGGCACGGAAUGAAAAAAAUUAUUUCUAUUUUUCCAUUUUUAUAAUAUGCAUAUAAACUUCAAAGAUAACCUGGUACCACUAGAUCGUGUGGUCUAACAAUACAACGUAAUCAGAAUAAGUGGUGAAAAUUAGAUAGGCAAUUGAGCAUAGGAGCAUGCUUUCUGACAAAGCCCGUAGGAUUGUCAACCUGAAGUGGCAAUGGGCAGCCCAGAUAAAAAGAUCGUACUGCCGGUUGGACAGAUAUAUUAUAGAGUGGAGACCACGUACUGGCAAGUGCAGUGUGGGACGGCCACCUACCAGAUGGACUCACAAGCUAAUGAAAAUUUCUGGGUCACGUUGGAUGCAGGUGGUAACGGAUCAGUCGCAGCGGAGAUUGAUUGGAGUGGCCUAUGCUCAACAGAGGACAGCUAUAGGCGAGAUGUUAAUGUUGUUAAUGUUUGCAUUAGAUUGCUUGAAUGGGGCUUGUAACCACUUACAAUCAGGUAAUGUACGGGCUAACUAAUACUACUUGGGAUACGAUAUGGGGCCUAUCAGUAAAUAAAACCAGAAUAAUUCUAGCAAACAUCACAAUAUUUUACUUUUCAACAAAUUUUGGUUUAAAUCUUUAGAACUCAUUUUACAAAAUUGCAAAUAUUAUUGUGAUAAAAAGAUUGAAGUUAAUUAACAUGUUUUGUACUCAUGUUUGUGUUAUUAUGUGCGUAAAUAACAUUUCUUAGUUAUUUUCCAUAAACUAUUAAAAUGGAUACCCAUAUUUUGAACAAAGAUCAGAGAGAUUUAACAGAAAAACUUAAUCAUAAAAUAUCACAAACAAUUCGUUCAUGUAAUCAUAAAGUUAAGCCAAUAAACCAAUGUUUAGAAAAAAUUACACAAACAAAGACUCACCAAUUACCAACUCUUUGGUCCAAAUGCAAAUAAACUUAUUAACUUGUCAUAAAAUGCAUAAUUCGAUGGGUAUAAAUUGAAAUGCAGUUAAUGGCACGUUACUAAUAAUUAUACAUCUCGUUGUGAGAUUGUUUCAAUUAAUUUUAUGUUAUCAAACAAUUGUAUUGUUAUCAAAUUAGCACAGUAAGGUGAUUAAAUCGCUGCAAGUUUAUUUUCUAUGUUUUAGUUUGGUUCGAGACGCGUUUCCUACACAACGUGAUCUCAAACAUAUUUGUUGGUAUCUUUGUCUCGAGCACGAAUCACAACAGUUGUCAAGCUGUUCUUAUGCUAUAAAAGUGGCUGAAAUCUGAACUUUUAUAUGGAACAGAAUAUUUCACACCUUUGACACUUGACAGUACCUUUCCGUUUCACGAAAACCAUGAAUUCAAGAAAAUCACUUCAAAUAAAUAGUUUUUCAAACAUAUUUUAUGAUCUACGCUCAAAAAAUACUUACUGUAUAAUUUCAUAGAGCAGGUGCACAAUAAAACAUUUAAUCAAAUACUUUCACUUCAUUGUACAAAACAUAAUUAAAAUUAGUCAAAUGAAUAACACAAAGGCGAUCUUAUCGCUAUCAGCCGUCUACCUGGUAACCGGUAAUCAAUUAAGAAAGCGGUGACGCACAAGUUCAGUAUACGCUGCCGCCUAAAAUCAAUUUACGCAGGUGCACAGAGGACCUCUUGUGAGUCUCUGGUAAGACCUCUGAUAGGUUAUCGAGGAUGAGCGUGAUGAUUUAAAGAGCGGUUCUCCUCACUAGACUUGGAUUGUGAUCAAAUUAAGGCCUUAGAUGGGACAAUGUUCACGGAAUGCACCAUUUGCGAUGUGACAGUCAGAGAUCCGGACGAUCAUAAGAACAGGUCUCUUACCGCCCCCCUUUUGGCCCGCAGCGCCCAAAAGGGGGCGUUAUCGCCCGCUUUGGGAAAGAUUAGUUUAGCAGAUUUCCAGUGCGACCGGUCCAUUGCCACCUGCAUCCAACGAGACCCAGCGCUUUUUAUUAGGUCGUCGGUCCAUCUAGUAGGUGGCCGUCCCACACUGCGCUUGCCAGUACGUGGUCGCCACUCCAGGAUCUUUCUGCCCCAUCGACCGUCCUCUCUUCGUGCUAUGUGGCCAUGGUAAGGUUACAUAAAAAAAUAUUUACUCAAGAAUAUGAAAACGAAGGAAAGAAAGAGACAAACAAAUAAGCGAACAAUUUUUAUUUUCACAAUUAUUAACAUUUGUAUUAAAUUAUUUGCAUUA